UAAGGAAUAUUGGUCAAUGGGCGGAAGCCUGAACCAGCCAUGCCGCGUGCAGGAUGACUGCCCUAUGGGUUGUAAACUGCUUUUGUCCAGGAAUAAACCUAAAUACGUGUAUUUAGCUGAAUGUACUGGAAGAAUAAGGAUCGGCUAACUCCGUGCCAGCAGCCGCGGUAAUACGGAGGAUCCGAGCGUUAUCCGGAUUUAUUGGGUUUAAAGGGUGCGUAGGCGGCCUAUUAAGUCAGGGGUGAAAUACGGUGGCUCAACCAUCGCAGUGCCUUUGAUACUGAUGGGCUUGAAUCCAUUUGAAGUGGGCGGAAUAAGACAAGUAGCGGUGAAAUGCAUAGAUAUGUCUUAGAACUCCGAUUGCGAAGGCAGCUCACUAAGCUGGUAUUGACGCUGAUGCACGAAAGCGUGGGGAUCGAACAGG
rnacentral:rRNA from 1 species